rnacentral:rRNA from 1 species
AUUGAACGCUGGCGGCAGGCCUAACACAUGCAAGUCGAACGAGUGGCGGACGGGUGAGUAAUGUCUGGGAAACUGCCCGAUGGAGGGGGAUAACUACUGGAAACGGUAGCUAAUACCGCGUACCAUCGGAUGUGCCCAGAUGGGAUUAGCUUGUAGGUGAGGUAACGGCUAACCUAGGCGACGCUCCCUAGCUGGUCUGACAGGAUGAACAGGAACACGGGAACUGAGACACGGUGCAGACUCCUACGGGAGGCAGGAGUGGGGAAUAUUGCAAAAUGGGAGAAAUCUUGAUGUAGCCAUGCCGGGUGUAUGAAGAAGGCCUUCGGGUUGUAAAGUACUGUCAGCGGGGAGGCGGUACCAGCAGAAGAAGCACCGGCUAACUCCGUGCCAGCAGCCGCGGUAAUUC